AUUGAACGCUGGCGGCAGGCUUAACACAUGCAAGUCGAGCGAGCGGCGGACGGGUGAGUAAUGUCUGGGAAACUGCCUGAUGGAGGGGGAUAACUACUGGAAACGGUAGCUAAUACCGCAUACCAUCAGAUCUGCCCAGAUUGGAUUAGCUAGUAGGUGGGGGAAUGGCUCACCAAGACGACGAUCCCUAGCUGGUCUGAGAGGAUGACCAGCCACACUGGAACUGAGAAACGGGCCCGACUCCUACGGGAGGCAGGAGUGGGGAAUAUUGCGCAAUGGGCGCAAGCCUGAUGCAGGCAUGCCGCGGGGGUGAAGAAGGCCUUCGGGUUGUAAAGCACUUUCAGCGAGGAGGCGUUACUCGCAGAAGAAGCACCGGCUAACUCCGUGCCAGCCGCCGGGGUAAUAC
rnacentral:rRNA from 1 species